rnacentral:rRNA from 1 species
GUUUGUUUGAAGUUAUAAAGAAUUUGACCUGCCCCCUGAUUAACUAUUAAAGGGCCGCAGUAUUAUAACUGUGCAAAGGUAGCAUAAUCAUUAGGUUUUUAAUUGAAAUCUCGUAUGAAUGGUUGGACAAAAGAAAGACUCUCUUUAUAUUAAGUUUUGAAUUUAACUUUUAAGUGAAAAGGCUUAAAUAUUCUAAAGGGACGAUAAGACCCUAUAAAACUUUACAUUGUCAUUAAUUUUGAUUGAAUUUAUAAAAUAAGAAUUUUAUUUGAUCAUCUGUUAUGUUGGGGAGACACAAGUAAAAUAUUUUUUUAACUGCUUGAUAGUUAUACAAUUGUUAGUGAGUAAGUAGAAGAUCCUUUUUAAGAUUAGUAGAUUAAGUUACUUUAGGGAUAACAGUGUAAUUUCUUUUGAGAGUUCUUAUCGAAAAAGAAGGUUGCAACCUCGAUGUUGAAUUAAAAUAUCUAUAUAAUGGAGAGGUUAUAUAAGAAGGUCUGUUCGACCUUGAAAUUUUUACAUGAUUUGAGUUCAAACCGGUGUGAG